UACGUAGGGACCAAGCGUUGUUCGGAUUUACUGGGCGUAAAGGGCGCGUAGGCGGCGUGUUAAGUCAGCUGUGAAAUCUCCAAGCUUAACUUGGAACGGUCAGCUGAUACUGAUGUGCUAGAGUGCAGAAGGGGCAAUCGGAAUUCUUGGUGUAGCGGUGAAAUGCGUAGAUAUCAAGAGGAACACCUGAGGUGAAGACGGGUUGCUGGGCUGACACUGACGCUGAGGAGCGAAAGCGUGGGUAGCGAACAGG
rnacentral:rRNA from 1 species